AGGCCUUGGUCAGUCAGCCAGCCUCGGGGAGCCCCACCGGGAUGAGUAGUGAUCCACUGGUGCCUGGGUCGAGACAGCAGUCCCGUGAAUCAUGAGCGCUUGUCUGGUCUGAGACACUUCCCAGGCCAACUGUUUACUCACAGGUCCCCAGAACACCCGCUACUUCCCAGCAACUCUUUCUCUUAAUUCAUUUCAGCAAACACUGACUCUACCAGGACUAGAACAAGGCAGUGGAAGGGGGAAGAAUAAAAGAAUGAGGGAGACACAGCUCCUGUCUUCUGGGAGCCUGAGCUUCAUCCUAAACUUUUACGACCACAUGGUGCUUUUACGACCUGACAGGGUCUGAGGCAGGGGUGUGGGGACUUUUAGAGAUAAGCAUAGCAUCUUUCUGAACUCAAGGAACUUCUGUUCUAGCUGGGGAGACGGAUACAAACCUGUAAUUCCACUCCCUGGUGGAAUUACCAGUCCUUGGCCUUUCUCAGAAUGCACCACGAGCCUUUGUCGUCGCCCGUCAGCUCGCCAAGCACCCCAGCGCUCCCACUAGAAUAUGAGCACCUCCAAGGAUCUUACAGUAUCUACCAUCGUGUGGCCUGCUGUUUCCAUCUAAUGCUGCACCGUGAACUUUCCCGCGCGUCACUGAGUAGACUUUUACACGCGGUUUUGAAUGGCUGCAUCGUGCUCGCCCUGGGCAGUGGACUGAAAUGGAGACAGGAGCAGAAGUGCAUGACAGAGGCGCUGGGCGACACGGGUUCCAGCCCUGGUCCGGGAAGAU